rnacentral:rRNA from 1 species
UACGGAGGGGGCUAGCGUUGUUCGGAAUUACUGGGCGUAAAGCGCACGUAGGCGGCUUUGUAAGUUAGAGGUGAAAGCCCGGAGCUUAACUCCGGAACUGCCUUUAAGACUGCAUCGCUAGAAUCGUGGAGAGGUGAGUGGAAUUCCGAGUGUAGAGGUGAAAUUCGUAGAUAUUCGGAAGAACACCAGUGGCGAAGGCGACUUACUGGACACAUAUUGACGCUGAGGUGCGAAAGCGUGGGGAGCAAACAGG